AACGAACGCUGGCGGCAUGCCUAACACAUGCAAGUCGAACGAGACCGUCGGGUCUAGGGGCGCACGGGGGCGUAACGGGUGGGAACCUGCCCGUAGGUUCGGAAUAACUCCGCGAAAGGGGUGCUAAUACCGGAGAAUUUCUUGGGACCAAAGAUUUAUCGCCUUUGGAUGGGCCCGCGUUGGAUUAGCUAGUGGGUAGGGUAAAAGCCUGCCAAGGCGACGAUCCAUAGCUGGUCUGAGAGGAUGAUCAGCCACACUGGGACUGAGACACGGCCCCGACUCGUACCAGAGGCAGCGGUUGUGGAUAUAGGACCAUGAGCGAGAGCCUGAUCCAGCACUGCCGCGUGAGUGAUGAAGGCCUUAGAAUUGUAAAGCUCUUUUACCCGGGAUGAUAAUGACGGUACCGGGAGAAUAAGCACCGGCUAACUCCGUG
rnacentral:rRNA from 1 species